AGCGAACGCUGGCGGCAGGCUUAACACAUGCAAGUCGAACGGGCCUUCGGGAUAGUGGCGGACGGGUGAGUAACACGUGGGAACGUACCCUUAGGUUCGGAACAACACAGGGAAACUUGUGCUAAUACCGGAUAAGCCCUUCGGGGGAAAGAUUUAUCGCCUUUGGAGCGGCCCGCGUCUGAUUAGCUUGUUGGUGAGGUAAUGGCUCACCAGGGCUACGAUCAGUAGCUGGUCUGAGAGGAUGGCCAGCCACACUGGGACUGAGACACGGCCCAGACUCCUACGGGAGGCAGCAGUGGGGAAUCUUGCGCAAUGGGCGAAAGCCUGACGCAGCCAUGCCGCGUGGAUGAUGAAGGUCUUAGGAUUGUAAAAUCCUUUCACCGGGGACGAUAAUGACGGUACCCGGAGAAGAAGCCCCGGCUAACUUCGUGCCAGCAGCCGCCGUAA
rnacentral:rRNA from 1 species